AAAUGAUAAAGGCAAACUCGAUGAAAAUCGAGGACGCAAAACUACGAGUCUACAGCUUCAAUAGAGGCCAGGAUAGUCGGGUUGCCAUA
rnacentral:ncRNA from 1 species